rnacentral:rRNA from 1 species
UACGGAGGGUGCAAGCGUUGCUCGGAAUUAUUGGGCGUAAAGGGUAGGUAGGUGGUCUCAUUUGUCUGGGGUGAAAGCCUUGGGCUUAUCUCAAGAAGUGCCCCAGAAACGGUGAGACUAGAGUCCUGGAGAGGGUCGUGGAAUUCCCGGUGUAGCGGUGAAAUGCGUAGAGAUCGGGAGGAACACCAGAGGCGAAAGCGGCGACCUGGACAGGAACUGACACUCAACUACGAAAGCGUGGGGAGCAAACAGG